UUAUUGGGCGUAAAGGGCUCGUAGGUGGUUGAUCGCGUCGGAAGUGUAAUCUUGGGGCUUAACCCUGAGCGUGCUUUCGAUACGGGUUGACUUGAGGAAGGUAGGGGAGAAUGGAAUUCCUGGUGGAGCGGUGGAAUGCGCAGAUAUCAGGAGGAACACCAGUGGCGAAGGCGGUUCUCUGGGCCUUUCCUGACGCUGAGGAGCGAAAGCGUGGGGAGCGAACAGGCUUAGAUACCCUGGUAGUCCACGCUGUAAACGGUGGGUACUAGGUGUGGGGUCCAUUCCACGGGUUCCGUGCCGUAGCUAACGCUNUAAGUACCCCGCCUGGGGAGUACGGCCGCAAGACUAAAACUCAAAGGAAUUGACGGGGCCCCGCACAAGCGGCGGAGCAUGCGGAUUAAUUCGAUGCAACGCGUAGAACCUUACCUGGGUUUGACAUGGAUCGGGAGUGCUCAGAGAUGGGUGUGCCUCUUUUGGGGUCGGUUCACAGGUGGUGCAUGGCUGUCGUCAGCUCGUGUCGUGAGAUGUUGGGUUAAGUCCCGCAACGAGCGCAACCCUUGUUCACUGUUGCCAGCACGUUAUGGUGGGGACUCAGUGGAGACCGCCGGGGUUAACUCGGAGGAAGGUGGGGAUGACGUCAAGUCAUCAUGCCCCUUAUGUCCAGGGCUUCACGCAUGCUACAAUGGCUGGUACAGAGAGUGGCGAGCCUGUGAGGGUGAGCGAAUCUCGGAAAGCCGGUCUCAGUUCGGAUUGGGGUCUGCAACUCGACCUCAUGAAGUCGGAGUCGCUAGUAAUCGCAGAUCAGCAACGCUGCGGUGAAUACGUUCCCGGGGCUUGUACACACCGCCCGUGAA
rnacentral:rRNA from 1 species